GUUUUUGUUUUACCCUGAAUUUGCCCGAUCUCGUCUGAUCUCGAAGCUAAGCAGGGUCGGGCCUGGUCAGUACUCGGAUGGGAGACCGCCUGGGAAUACCGGGUGCUGUAGGCC
rnacentral:rRNA from 1 species